rnacentral:rRNA from 1 species
CACGUGUGGGAUUUUGUAUGUACCAUAUGAAUAAGGAUCGGCUAACUCCGUGCCAGCAGCCGCGGUAAUACGGAGGAUCCGAGCGUUAUCCGGAUUUAUUGGGUUUAAAGGGAGCGUAGGUGGAUUGUUAAGUCAGUUGUGAAAGUUUGCGGCUCAACCGUAAAAUUGCAGUUGAAACUGGCAGUCUUGAGUACAGUAGAGGUGGGCGGAAUUCGUGGUGUAGCGGUGAAAUGCUUAGAUAUCACGAAGAACUCCGAUUGCGAAGGCAGCUCACUGGACUGCAACUGACACUGAGGCUCGAAAGUGUGGGUAUCAAACAGGAUUAGAUACCCUGGUAGUCCACACAGUAAACGAUGAAUACUCGCUGUUUGCGAUAUACAGCAAGCGGCCAAGCGAAAGCAUUAAGUAUUCCACCUGGGGAGUACGCCGGCAACGGUGAAACUCAAAGGAAUUGACGGGGGCCCGCACAAGCGGAGGAACAUGUGGUUUAAUUCGAUGAUACGCGAGGAACCUUACCCGGGCUUAAAUUGCACCUGAAUAAUGUGGAAACAUGUUAGCCGUAAGGCAGGUGUGAAGGUGCUGCAUGGUUGUCGUCAGCUCGUGCCGUGAGGUGUCGGCUUAAGUGCCAUAACGAGCGCAACCCUUAUCUUCAGUUACUAACAGGUCAUGCUGAGGACUCUGGAGAGACUGCCGUCGUAAGAUGUGAGGAAGGUGGGGAUGACGUCAAAUCAGCACGGCCCUUACGUCCGGGGCUACACACGUGUUACAAUGGGAGGUACAGAAGGCCGCUACCUGGCGACAGGAUGCCAAUCCCCAAAACCUCUCUCAGUUCGGAUCGAAGUCUGCAACCCGACUUCGUGAAGCUGGAUUCGCUAGUAAUCGCGCAUCAGCCAUGGCGCGGUGAAUACGUUCCCGGGCCUUGUACACACCGCCCGUCAAGCCAUGAAAGCCGGGGGUACCUGAAGUACGUAACCGCAAGGAUCGUCCUAGGGUAAAACUGGUAAUUGGGGCUAAGUCGUAACAAGGUAGCCGUACCGGAAGGUGCGGCUGGAACACCUCCUUUCUGGAGC